CCAGACUUGCUUUCGGCACAAUUUACAGUGCGCACUACUCUGUUUUUUGUCAGACUUGAUAAGCGAAAUACCUUCACACUACGGAACUUCUAUGGCUCUUCCGUUCAACAGUCUCUCCGGCAUUGGAACCAUCAUCUGUUUUCUCUUUGGUAACCUGGUCACCCAAGCUCUCGGUUGAUUUUUCUCUAGUCAGCACACUCGUUUCCUCCAUUACCCGGGCGGCACGGUGGCUGGCUGCUUCCCAAACAAAUACACAUGUGAGGCUUGGCUCUUGUGCUGUACGUAACAAGUCACGUGACGUUACGUGUGCGCUGUGAUUGGUUCGGCUCUGCGCUACUUUAUUUGGAUUGGCUGUUCUUUUUUUUUUUUAAGAGGACAAGAGCGGUGAGGUCUAUCGCAAUAGUUUAAUUUUUCUAUCGAGAAAAAGUUAUUUCGCAAUACAUAUCGUUAUCGUUAUAUCGCCCAGCUCUAAGUACACGGUUUGUCCUGUCUGCAGAAUCACAAUACUUUAUUAAUCCCUAAUAAAUAUAAAUGACUGACAUUUGACUCUAACCUGUGAACUUUGUCAUUUGCUAUUUUACUACAGGGCAUGUGCAGAAAGGAUGUAACUAUUGCAGAGUUUACAGUGUGUUAGAUGGAGGAGUUGUGCAGGGAGAUGGCCACAGACAGGAAUGACUUCCUGUGUCGUUCAAUGGUGCUUUUUAAUAAUCUCAGUCUAUCACUGAACGUGCUCCUGUGACUUCUUCACCUGUGACUUCUUCACGCCAGCAUGCCAUGGAGUGGGUGGGAGGUAUUAUCCAACAUUGUCCGUACCUUGGACGACAUCCACCUCCCAGACACCACCCUAAGGGAGUCCAGCUCCAUCUUCCACAUUACUGGCCUUGCAGAUCAGUUUAUUGAGUCUGUUGGCAUCAACGACCCUCAACCUGUUACCCCAGCAUGCAGCAGCAAAGAGGAUAGCACUGACCACAACAGACUCACAGAAAAUCCUGAGCAUUGUCAGAUGUUGAAGGACCUCAGUUGCCUCAGAAAGUAGAGACAACUCUGGCCCUUCCUGUAAAGUGCAGUGGUGUUUUUAACCCAGUCCAGUUUAUUAUCUACAUAUAAUCCGAGGUAUUUAUGGUCCUCCACAAAAUCCACAUUGACCC
ensembl:lncRNA